GUGAGGAAUUUUCCGCAAUGGGCGAAAGCCUGACGGAGCAAUGCCGCGUGAAGGAUGAAGGCCUAUGGGUUGUAAACUUCUUUUCUCAGAAAAGAAUUAUGACGGUAUCUGAGGAAUAAGCAUCGGCUAACUCUGUGCCAGCAGCCGCGGUAAGACAGAGGAUGCAAGCGUUAUCCGGAAUGAUUGGGCGUAAAGCGUCUGAAGGUUGUUUAAAAAGUAUUCUGUCAAAGAUUAGGGCUUAACCCUAGAUAGGCAGAAUAAACUUUUAAGCUAGAGUUUGGUAGAGGCAGAGGGAAUUCCCGGUGGAGCGGUGGAGUGCGUAGAUAUCGGGAGGAACACCAAAGGCGAAGGCACUCUGCUGGGCCAAUACUAACACUGAGAGACGACAGCGAGGGGAGCAAAUGGGAUUAGAUACCCGAGUAGUCC
rnacentral:rRNA from 1 species